rnacentral:lncRNA from 1 species
AAAGCAGAAUGUAUUCCAGAAAAAUGCAGUGAAGUGAAAGGGACUUAGAGAAGGUAAUAGUGUGUUAUGAAAACGAUUUAGAUUAUGACUCGGCACGGCCCUAUCCAUGGUGAACACCAUUCACCGUGUAUAAUUCCAUCAUGGGUUUCACAAAAGAUGCGUCUCUCAUCCCUAACAUUGACAUUCAUAGAUAAAUUAGAAUUAAUAAUGAUCAUCUUUGUCAAGUGGUUUGUUAAUACACGCAUACACAAAUAUGUGGAAUCUAAUAUAUUAUACAUACAAACAUACCAAAAUAGCAAAACUCUAUUCCCAGCUAGCU